AAUUGAAUCAGAAACCCUAAUUCCCAAAUCCUAGAAACCCUAAUCCUAAUGUUUCCCUUUCCUCAGCCUCUGAAUGCAGCCUCCACCCCCUUUCUUCCUAAACACCACACACACACAAAAGAAGAAAAAAACGCAGAGAGAAAGAGCACGAAGAGCAGAGAAAAGAGAGAGGGAAGAGCUGCUGCCCCGCCGCCGCUGUGACCGUCGCACUGCCACCGUUCAACUCCGCUCGUGCUGCCGCGCGUUCCGUCACCAUCAGAGUCGUCGUCGCCAUUUGUGGAGCCAUGAGGAGCAUCACCGUCGAAGCCACGCCGAUCGUCGCAGCCCAGUCAUCGCUCUGCCUCGCACCAAGCCCGUUCCGCCACUGACGUCGCCGAAAGGAGAGCGACCACCAUGAGGAGCCACCGUUGUCCUUGCUCGUCAUCUCCCUUGGAACCGUCACCGUCGAGGACCAGCGGAGAGAGAGAACGCGCGACGUUCAGGAUGGAGGACGCGAGUCAGUGACGCAAGGAAGAGUGCAACCCACUGCGUGAAGUUGUGCCGCCGUGCCUUUCGUCGCCGUCGUGCCUUGGUGCCGUCGAAGGAGCCGCCGCUGGAAGAGGAGGGUUAGCUGGAUGCUACCAUCACUAACAUCACGGAAUAUACGCAGAGUAGAGGAAGAAAGGAUCUUCACCAUGCCAGGUUGUCAUGCUGUGAUCAGAAGCUGUUGCCGUCAGAAAGCUCAUCUGCGGUAAGAGAGAGAGUUCACGAAGGUUGGAACCAUUGUCCUUUGCUUAGCCACUGUUUCUGCUACUGUUUACGUUGGCUCAGCCAUUACCGCCACUGGAGCUGCCCGGAAACCCUGUUGAUGCUUCUCCGUUAUUUUAUUAGUGAAGAAUGAAUCGGAAAUAAUGCUGCUGCCAUUGAUCGGAGAUGCCAAACUAUUGCUGCUACUACUUUGAAAUGAUAUGGCUGCUAUUAAGGUUGUUGUUCAUGAGUGCAGCAUUCCCAAUUUCUAUGGAUUUCGACACCUUGAGUGACACAGGUUCGAAGACACAGUUUGAAGCUGCGGGUGAUUAUAGAAUUUAUUUAAG